ACCCUGGAGGGAGGAGAGGGAGGGGUCAUGAGGGCACAGCUCAUCCACCUACCACCCCUGCCCCCCACCCCUCUCCCCUCACCUGUGAAAAGCCGCCCAGGACGAUUCGAUUGGCAGGGAUCCCAUUCUUCAUUUCAUGCUCAAUCAAGGCCUUGACUGGGGGGAGGGGGUGUGAUUGUGUGGGGGGAAGUUGCCAAGGGGCCCAAGAAGGGAGCCAGGUGGAGGAACCAUCCAGCGCUUUCCUGGGGGGCAGGGGAAGGAGGAUGUGGAGCAGGGCCUGGGGUCUUACUGUUCUCUGCUGCCUUCUUGAUGCCAGCCUCAUCCUCUGGGGCAUCUGGACUCAGCCCCAUCAGGUCAAACCUGGGGAGUAGAGGUAUUGGCAGCUAUAGAAAACCCUGGCCAGCACCCUGUAGUUCCCUCAGCUCAAGUGUCCUUGUCCCCCUGCCCACCACCCACUCCCAAACUCACCAGGAGGGCAUCACCAUCUUCAUGUUGAGGGUCACAGGGAUCCUAGGCCUGGGGAGGGACAGCCAGAGGGCCCAUCAUACUCAGGAGGGAUGAGGAAGCCACAGCCCAGAGCCGGGAGUGGGACCAUGCCUCCCCUGGGGGCCCCUCCCCUGGGGGCCCCUCCCAGCAGACAGGGCCUGUGUUUAAGGUGUUGCCAGGCAACCUGCCAUGUGGGGCUGGAGGCUGUGGUUGGGGCAGAGCGCCAGCGAUGGAGAAGCAGGGCACAGCUCUUGGUGUGAUGGGGUCCCAGGCAGUCGGUAUUGGUCAACAAAUACAUCUGUUUCCAGUCUGCACCAAAAAAGCUAUGAUGCUUUUCUCCUCAAACCCACCUAAGUAAGUUAUCCCGUUUCUAGAAGCAAAUGUGUGCUCUUGACACAACCAGUGAAGGAAUCCAUCUGAGGAGGCAACUGGGCACAGCCUAUUCAGCCUGAGGAAUCUCUGAGGACAAAUGGGAAUUCUCACUGAUUUCUAGGACUACACUGGGACAGAUGCAGUUUUACCAUGUUGGCAGCCGAUCUCAAACUCCUGACCUUAAGUGACCCACCUGCCUUGGUCUCCAAAGUUCUGGGAUUACAGGCAUGAGCCACUGUACCCAUCAGCCUUUUUCUUUAAAUCCAGAAGAGGUGGCAACACUGGGCUCUGUCUUCUACCUAGAAGCAAUAAAGUGAAGCUGCGUGAA